rnacentral:misc_RNA from 1 species
GCAAGUUGUUUAGCAGACAAUUUCAAUAACUUUAGUUUUCUUCACAAAUCAUUCCACUUCUCAUCCAUGACGCCAAACUCAAAAGCUUCUUAUAAUGGAUAAGCAUAUCCAAAUUUGUCGUAAAUGCUAUUCCUUCUACCUACAAUAAAAAAAAUUAAAGUAUGUAAGACCAUUAUUCCUAGUAAGCAACCCCUACUAUCAAGAAAUAAAUCAUUUCUAACACCUAAAAUCAAAGUCAGCUGUAAUAUCUGAAAGCGUGUGGGAGUCCCUUCUAAUUUAACCAAGCCUUAUUUGAGAUAAGGCUGAAUUAGAAUCUCCAAUCCCCUUUCUCUCUUAAAAAAAGCACAUAAUAGUUGUCUUUCUUUUUCAUAAGUAAUACUGUAUACAUAAACUUUUCUAUGACAAAAAUAAAAAAAAAGAAAGAAAUUGUUUUAUUUAUAACAAUGAAAGAAUCAAAAAGAGCAAGCUAUUCUAAAUGUUUAUCCAUGUUGGGGUGUUUUGCUGAACCUGAAGAGGUUAUCUAAUUUGCCAGGAACUUGAAAGAGUACAUACUCUUUUAAGCAAAUUAUUUAAAAAAAAAAAAUUAGGACUUAGGAGCACUGUCUU